rnacentral:sRNA from 1 species
GCCAGGUGUGGUGGCGCACACCUGUAAUUCCAGGGACUCAGGAGGCUGAGGUAGGAAUAUCAUAAGUUUGAGGAUAGCCUCAGCAAUUUAGUAAGACCCUCUCUCAA